CUGGCCAUUGUCUCUUCCACUUCUAUCCUCAUAUCUUGUGGAGCAGACUGAUUUGGAUGUGCAUCAAGAUUACCCUCACUACCCUCACUUUGAUUAGGAACUUGGCUUUGUUCUUCAGUCUCCUCUCCAUUUGGAACUUCUGCUGUUCCACUGCUAUUCUGAUUAUGUUCUACCACCUCAGAAGCUGAUAUAGUUGUCUGAUCGAUUUGUC
rnacentral:misc_RNA from 1 species